UUGGAAGGCAAGUCUGGUGCCAGCAGCCGCGGUAAUUCCAGCUCCAAUAGCGUAUAUUAAAGUUGUUGCAGUUAAAAAGCUCGUAGUUGAAUUUCGGGAUUAGUACGCUGGUCGUGCCUUCGGUACGUACUGGUGUUACUGAUUCCUACCUUCUGACGAACCAUCAUGUCAUUAGUUUGGUGUGGUGGGGAAUCAGGACUGUUACUUUGAAAAAAUUAGAGUGUUUAAAGCAGGCUCGCGCUUGAAUACAUUAGCAUGGAAUAAUGAAAUAGGACGUUGAUCCUAUUUUGUUGGUUUCUAGGAUUGACGUAAUGAUUAAUAGGGAUAGUUGGGGGCAUUAGUAUUCAAUUGUCAGAGGUGAAAUUCUUGGAUUUAUUGAAGACUAACUACUGCGAAAGCAUUUGCCAAGGAUGUUUUCAUUAAUCAAGAACGAAAGUUAGGGAAUCGAAGACGAUCAGAUACCGUCGUAGUCUUAACCAUAAACUAUGCCGACUAGGGAUCGGAUGAUGUUAUUUUUAAUGACUCAUUCGGCGCCUUACGGGAAAC
rnacentral:rRNA from 1 species